CAGAGAACUUCUAGCAGCCCUGAGACAACUGGAGAAAAACCGACUGCUGAAGGCACGGGAAGGGUUAAGUCCUGGCUGCAGUUUCUCCCCGCACUGCUAAUCACUGGUUCAGACCACAUUAAUUACCCAGCCACAGGGGGAGUGCAUAGCGUAAAUUAACUGCUGAGUUCAAAGGGGCCACUCCCCACAUUUCUUAAUUAAGAGAGCAGCUGGCAGCCUGGGCUGUGCUCAGCCUCCCUGGGGCCUUUCAGGGAAACUCAAGUGGCUGAGACCGAGUCUACCUCUGCCCAGGCCCGGGCAGGCAGGGUAGCCCCAUCUGCCAGUAUUUGCAGGGUUCCCAUGGUGUGCACACUAAGGUACUGAGCAAAUGUUUAUCGGGGAUCAGCGCAGCAUGAGAAGGCCCUGUGAGGUCAGCAACACAGGCUGAUGAUGACGGCGAUCAUGCUCCCGACCAUGGAAGAAACCGUCGCUAUUGAUCAGCGCCUCACGUGGGAGAGAAUUCCAGAAACAAGUACAGCAGAGGCUCUUCGUUCACAGAGUGAGCCUUCAUCGAGCAUGGCGGCUGCUGCGGGCCUUCCAGUGGGGAGCAGCACUGCAGCAGGGUCUGGGCCUCCUGGGCACUGCUCCUUCCAGGCCUGCCCACCAGCAUCCUCUGGGAACAGAAGCAGGUACCUGGUCAGACAACUGGAGAUGGGAUUUGGCGCUCGAUGUGUCGACAUUAGGGCUUCAGGUGUCACUAGUGGUAAACAGCCCGCCUGCCAAUGAGGAGACAUACACUGGGUUUCGAUCCUGGGUCGGGAAGAUCCCUGGAGGAGUGCGUGGCGACCCACUCCAGUAUUCUUGCCUGGACAAUCCCAGGGACAGAGGAGCCUGGUGGGCUACAGUCCACUCUGGGUUACACAGAGUCGGAGAUGGCUGAAGCGACUUGGCAAGCAUGCACUCA
rnacentral:lncRNA from 1 species